CGGGGCUGGGGAUGGAGCGCUGGCUGCUCAAGCUGCCGGAAACAGCACGUUUAUGCAGCUUCAUCCUAGUAUGCUGAAAUGGAUUUGUCUCCAGGCAAUUUACAGCAUAUCUAAACCAUCUCUCAUUUUUACUCCCACUCAGAAAGCAGAUGUUGCUACGGUGAGAAAACUUUCACCAACACAGAGUGAGUAUCAGCCAAGACCUUGCACCCCAACCUCCUUCACUCAUCACAACAUCCCUGGUUGCAAUACCACCUAGGCAAAUGUGCUCUCAGAGCUCAGCCAGAGUGCCAUCCAGAGAGCUGAACAGCAGGCAGCAGUCUUUCUUCUCAUGCUAGUAUCUCUGCCAACCCAGGAAGAUCCGGCGAGGUUGACAGCUGGAAGGCAAGUCUUGUUACUGUUCCAUUUCUUAGUUAUCGCUUGCAUGUGGGAAGGGAAAGGCAGCGAUUUGUUCUACCAAAUGAGAAACAUCUUCAAGGCAGUCAGUGCAAGCCUUGGCAGCUAUGGAGGGUGUAUUAUAAAAUGGCAACAGCUGCAUGUGACUAUGUUCUCAUAGGGCCCUUGACAGAAUUUUGUUAUCUUGCAAAUGCCUUACAGACUGAUAGCAUUAAAAACUGCACUUCCAUAGAAGUAACAUGCUUAACUUUGGCUCUAAGUGUCAAAUCACAUUCAUUAAUUAUAAUUCAUGUGUAUUUGCAUUCCUGGGGAGUCAUCACCAUCUUAUGAAUGAAGAUACUUUCACUAUGGAAUUGACAGGAAGGACAUUUGUCUUUUGAUCAUUAUUACCAAACUGUCUGAUCAGUAUGUUCUCACAUCUUGUGCAAGAAAAACAGCCUGGCAUGGCAACUGCAGAGGAGAUCAGCAUUUCCACCCUCCCUCCCAGACAAGAAGCACAGACAGAAAUGUCUGGAAAAGGAGCCAGCACUGACAUUGCUCCUCACCUGUCCUUUUCUGCAACACGAGGGCUGGGAAAGCUGAAGUCCGUUUGUGCUCAGAUCUUCAUGACUUGUCUCAAUCAAGAACCUCUGCAACUGUGCACUAAACAGACAUGUUGAACAGUUCUGGAAAUACAGAACUAGGCAUCUAAGAGAGGGAUCUUCAAAAAGUGACACAGUAGGUGGGAUUUUGUUUACCAGUAGAAGAUGGCGGGAAGAGGAGCAGUUGUCCCUGAAAAGAGCUACGUACCUAGCUCAGUGAUGGUGAUAAGGCAAUUGUGUCUGCUCCAGAUGCUGGAGUGAGUCCGAUAGAGACUUGAGGAUGAAUAAUGAUUGGAGCACAUGUUGUUCAAGGAGAGGCUAAGGGAGCUGGGACAGCUCAGCCUGAAGAAGCAAAGGCUUGUGGGGAAUCUUACUAAUACGUAUGAACACCUGAAGGGAGGUUGUACAGAAGAGAGAGCCAGGAUCUUUCAGUGGUAUCCGGAAAAAGGGCAAAAAGAAAUAAGAACAAAUGAAUUAAAUGUCAUGGAACCACAACAAAAAAUGUUUACAAUGAGUGUGCUCAUACAGAGUAGAUUGCCUAGAGAGAUCGUGGCAUUUACAUGUGGAGAUAUAAAAAAAUUAGACAUAGUCGUGGGUGAGUCGCUGCAGUUGACUCUGCUUUGGGGUGGUAGUGCUUGGACUACAUGACCUCCAGGAGGUCCCUUUCCAUCUCAACAAUUCUGUUUCUGUGAUGAGCCAAAGACAUAGAAUAAUUCCAAGCCUUUUAGGCAGCAAUGAAAUCUCCUUUCUGACAUUUUCAUUUAGUCUAAAUAAUAAAAUGGUCAUUAGGUGACAGAAAAAAUGAGAAAAACCAUGACUCUAGCCAGAGGGUUCGGGUAAGUCAGGUUGAAAUUUCUUGUUUCACAUAUUUCAUAGUGAUAUGAAGUAUAACAGGUUUUGAGAGAAAUACCGAGGAAAAAAUAUUUUUUCAGAACACCAACUGCUUGGUGAUAAGGAAAUUUUCUGCAAUAUUAGAUGAGAUAUUUAGGUUCAGCUCUAUAUCUCCCACAUGCCAGCUGAUUGCUCCAGAACGGGAAAUAUUAGGUACCAGCCAUCAUUCAGAAUUUAAUGAUUUUGGGGGGGAAAUGAAGUGAAGUGAACAUUAUACCAGAAUCUGUGGGUUUGACAAAUGUGGGAAUGUGUAAAUUGUCAGAACAUGAUUCACAAAAGAACUGAAAACAGUGAAAGAACCUCACACGUAUGUACACAUACAUAUUCUUGCCUACGCAAAUGUGAGCAAAAGCAAUGCAGAAAAUCACAGGCAAUACCUGAACAGUCAUUUUAUCCCAAGUCAAAUUUGGUUGUAAAUGAAACCUGUGGAAAACACUGCUCAAAAGAUCUAUGGAUUCUGCCUAUGGGAAAAAAAAAGGUGAUGUCAUCCCCAGCUGAAAAUGAAAGGGCUGUCAAACACUCAUUUGGCUGACCUCCAGAAGGCUGUAAAAAGUAAAACACCUGGCAGAUAGCUUGGGAAGUUUGAAUCUGUCAAAACCCCACACUACUACUGUGAACUGAAGUUCUGCACAACUUGCUAAACAAGACAGGAUAUUGGCAAUUUUCCAUGAUGGCCAGAAUCAAACUAUAAUGCCCAGUAGAACAAGGAACACUCAGUACUGUAGUUGGGGUUACCUGGAAAGAAGUGAACACUCAGACCAUCUACCAAGUCUGAUCCAUUAGCAUCUAGAACCCAAAAUAUAUAAACUGUGUUCCUUAGGUAGUACAUGGAAGAUGACAGAUAAACUCAGAGGACCUAAG